UACAGAGGUCUCAAGCGUUGUUCGGAUUCAUUGGGCGUAAAGGGUGCGUAGGUGGCGCCGUAAGUCGGGUGUGAAAUUUCGGAGCUUAACUCCGAAACUGCAUUCGAUACUGCGGUGCUUGAGGACUGGAGAGGAGACUGGAAUUCAUGGUGUAGCAGUGAAAUGCGUAGAGAUCAUGAGGAAGACUAGUGGCGAAGGCGGGUCUCUGGACAGUUCCUGACACUGAGGCACGAAGGCCAGGGGAGCAAACGGG
rnacentral:rRNA from 1 species